UCGAACAACAAUAGGAA
rnacentral:misc_RNA from 1 species